GGCGUCCGAGUUGUAAUUUGUAGAGGAUGCUAUUGGGUUGCCACCGGUCUAAGUUCCUUGGAACAGGACGUCACAGAGGGUGAGAAUCCCGUAUGUGACCGGCCAGGCGCCUUCUGUAUAGCUCCUUCGACGAGUCGGGUUGUUUGGGAAUGCAGCCCUAAAUGGGAGGUAAAUUUCUUCUAAAGCUAAAUACCGGCCAGAGACCGAUAGCGCACAAGUAGAGUGAUCGAAAGAUGAAAAGCACUUUGGAAAGAGAGUUAAAAAGCACGUGAAAUUGUUGAAAGGGAAGCGCUUGCAAUCAGUCUCGACGGCGGCUGUUCGGCCUCUCUUCUGAGUGGUUUAUUCAGUCGCCGCCGGGCCAGCAUCAGUUUCGGCGGCCGGAUAAAGGCGCGGGGAAUGUAGCUCCCUCGGGAGUGUUAUAGCCCCGCGUGCAAUACGGCCCGCCGGGACUGAGGUCCGCGCUUCGGCUAGGAUGCUGGCGAAAUGGUUGUAAGCGGCCCGUCUUGAAACACGGACCAAGGAGUCUAACAUCUACGCGAGUGUUUGGGUGUCAAACCCGUGCGCGCAAUGAAAGUGAACGGAGGUGGGAACCGCAAGGUGCACCAUCGACCGAUCCUGAUGUCUUCGGAUGGAUUUGAGUAAGAGCGUAGCUGUUGGGACCCGAAAGAUGGUGAACUAUGCCUGAAUAGGGUGAAGCCAGAGGAAACUCUGGUGGAGGCUCGCAGCGGUUCUGACG
rnacentral:rRNA from 1 species